rnacentral:rRNA from 1 species
UACGUAGGGGGCAAGCGUUGUCCGGAUUUAUUGGGCGUAAAGAGCGUGUAGGCGGCUUGGUAGGUCCGCUGUGAAAACUCGAGGCUCAACCUCGAGCUGUCGGUGGAAACUGUCUGGCUAGAGUCCGGAAGAGGAGAAUGGAAUUCCUGGUGUAGCGGUGAAAUGCGCAGAUAUCAGGAAGAACACCCGUGGCGAAGGCGGUUCUCUGGGACGGUACUGACGCUGAGACGCGAAAGCGUGGGGAGCGAACAGG